UGAUUCAAGGCACAAUAGGAAGCACGUUCUCUAUCAUCUGCACCUACAAAACAAACCAGUUCCGAUUUAACAAGAAGUACUGGUGUGCUGGAGACUCCCGAAGCUCAUGUAAGGUUCUGAUGGACACCGAUGGAUUUUCUCUAAACAGAAAACGUGCUCAGAUCAUUGAUGCAGUUUCUAGAGGUUUGACUGUUCGUGUAAGAGAUUUACAGUUGGAUGACACUGGAACCUACUGGGUCGGGAUUGAUAAAAUCUAUGCUGAUAUAAUGCUCAGGAUCCAAGUUAUAGUAAGAAACGAGGCUGUAAUAAAUCCAAACGUUUGGCCUCUUAGUUCUGUAGAGAUGACAUGUUGGGGACAACCUGUUACGUUUCGAUGUAGGAGUGAGAGAGGAACAGAUGUGCGGUACACUUGGUACAGAGUAGGACAUCCUAACAACAUUGUCCUGCAUCAUGCCACUGAUAUGAAUUUCCACUGUUCAAACAGCACUGAAAGUACACAGUUUUUCUGCUCGGCUUCUAAUGAUUUCAGCCGCCAGAACAGUGAAAUGUUUACUGUACAACAUCUGCAGCCUGCAAACCAGGGCUGUAUGUAUCUCAUCACAUCCAAAAGUAAGUGUAACUUGAACUUGUGAACUCAUACAUUACAUAAAUUGGCAGGUGCGACUUGCCAUUAUUUUCUCUCUUUCCCAUUUAGCUGUCAGUAGUUAUGACUGUAUAAGAAGCACAACAUCACCCUCAACAACCACACAAACAUCCGAGAAUCUCUGGAGCUCUGCCACGGCUUCUGACCCCUCAGAAGGUCAGAAUGACACAAUGUGUGUUAAUCGAACAGAAUGUUUUUCAUGGUCUGGAUUGCCAUUGUGGUAUGAAUGUCUUCGCUGGCUUCUCUCUUCAGCUAUGUUCACUGUCGCAUGUGUAGUGCACAUUUGGACAAAAUCAAGAUGCAGGAGGGUUCAGGGCAAACAUCACAAAGAGAUCUGACUCAGAACCAUGGUUCUGUAUAGCAUGCGUGUACAUACUCUCUAUUCCCUCAAUAGAAACCUUGCCCUGUUUUAUAUCACAUUAUUUAUGAACUACAAGAAAUAUGUUUAUUUUUGUGUUCAUCUACCUUUACAUUGUUUUGUAGAAAUUCAUCCAGUAAAUCUCUGUAAAAAAUAUGUGGUUUAAAAUAUGUAUUUUAUGACUAUGGGGAUCAUUUGUAAGUGGCUUUGGAUAAAAAGCAUCUGGUAAACGUAAAGUGUAACUUUUUUAAGAAGGAGCGAACAUUAGUUAUUGAUUAUGGUUAUG